UACGUAGGGCGCAAGCGUUAUCCGGAAUUAUUGGGCGUAAAGAGCUCGUAGGCGGUUUGUUGCGUCUGCCGUGAAAGUCCGGGGCUCAACUCCGGAUCUGCGGUGGGUACGGGCAGACUAGAAUGAUGUAGGGGAGACUGGAAUUCCUGGUGUAGCGGUGAAAUGCGCAGAUAUCAGGAGGAACACCGGUGGCGAAGGCAGGUCUCUGGGCAUUAACUGACGCUGAGGAGCGAAAGCGUGGGGAGCGAACAGG
rnacentral:rRNA from 1 species